rnacentral:rRNA from 1 species
UACGGAGGAUGCGCGCGUUAUCCGGAUUUAUUGGGUUUAAAGGGUGCGUAGGCGGACGCUUAAGUCAGCGGUAAAAUUGCGGGGCUCAACCUCGUCGAGCCGUUGAAACUGGGUGCCUUGAGUGGGCGAGAAGUACGCGGAAUGCGUGGUGUAGCGGUGAAAUGCAUAGAUAUCACGCAGAACUCCGAUUGCGAAGGCAGCGUACCGGCGCCCUACUGACGCUGAAGCACGAAGGCGUGGGUAUCGAACAGG